GUGUAAGAAUAAUAAUUUAGCCAUACUUGCUCUGAAAUGUUUGUUUGACAACAUUUUACUCCCUCCUCUAUGUUUAAUAUAAUACAUUUAUUAUUAAUUUUGGUUUCCUUUCCUGACUCUGAUGUCUGCCACAUAAAGCAUUUGACUCUAGCCACAAAUUAUGGAAAUUAGAAGGGGGGAGAAUUCUGGCAAGGGGGAGAUUUUUGGCACAACACCGGCAGUGGGAGAAGAUGGAGGAGAUGGAUUUUGGCCGACAUUCUGCUAAUUUACUCAUCGAUGAAACAUUUGAUUUCAAAAUAGUUUUCUGUUCCCAAAACUACAAUCUGUUAGGAAUAGAGUGGACAAAGUUUUGUAGACUUUACCCUUUGCCAAAAAAAAAAAAAGGAAUGCGAAGGCGAAUUGAGUUAUUGCACACGUGGACUUUACAGAGUAGGCAUUCCACAACGGAACCCUGCAAAUGCCUGCUAGAAUCUUGUUAGCUCGUGCUUGGCUCUGCCCACCUCCUUGCUUGUUCUGCCCACUAUGGCUCAUUUGUUUCCCUUUGAAACGACAGGCUGUGGUCUAUGUAUGUGUAGUUCUAAAAAUCUUUGUCUGCUUCUUCUUCUUCUUUAAAUUAAAAGGUUAAUUAACACCACCACCUAGUGCGAGUCCGGUGUAAGAGUUCGCUACCCUACCAACUAACUCGACACUCAUUAAAACAUCGCCACUAUUCCACUAAUGGCCCCAUCUGAUCCUAGACUAGGCCGGCAGGGUCCGUGUACCUUCUAGACAAUGGCUAUCCUACAUUAACCAGGAUGACGGAUAGUGAUUCACCAUUCGUUAUCAGUUUUCUUUUAUUUCAAGUUGAUCGAAAUUGACAGAAAGCUACCUUUUUUCGUUUUUCGCUUCAGAUAUCGGAAAACAAGCACUGUCAAGGUCAAGGCACUGUCAAGGUCGAUUUUGUUCCUAGUGUAACGUUAGUUAACAAAAGCUAGCGUUACCGUUAGGGCAACUAGCUAACCACACAGUCUCAAGUGAGUGUAAUUUGUUUGUAGCCAAAUCACCACAACUGUUGUGGCUAGACAAGCUAGCUAACGUUAUUGCCUAGCUACAAAUUCACUGCUCUAUGAAGUUUGUGUUCUCAGUUGUGUUUGAUUUGACCGUCUAUUAUUGACCGUGUUGUGUGGUCUAUAUAUGGUCAGAGGGACCUGGGGUGCAGAUGGUGGUGGAGGUGUUUGGCGUGGAGAGGACAGUGAAUUCAGUGGAGGACAUCCCAGCCACUUGACAGUGUUGGCACUGUUACUUCCUACCUGACGGGUGAAGGAUGAUAAACCCGUGUUUGAGAAGAGGUGUCUGGUGUGGGAGAACAUGCGGAUUCCCUCAAAGUUCCUGAAGGAGGAGUUGAAGGCGGAGCAUGCGUAGUACCUGCGGCAACACCCAGGUCUAUCUGUCUUCAGAGAGAUCUAGAGUGCAGACAGCAGAUGGUGGUGGUGGAGAUGUUUGGGGUGGAGAGGACAGUGGAUUCAGUUGGAGGACAUCCCAGCCACUUGGCAGUGUUGGUGUAACAGUAUAACUUUAGACCGUCCCCUCGCCCAUACCCGGGCGCGAACCAGGGACCCUCUGGACACAUCAACAACAGUCACCCACGAAGCAUCGUUACACAUCGCUCCACAAAAG